rnacentral:lncRNA from 1 species
UGCCAUGUUGGCCAGGCUGGUGCUUUCAUUAAUUCUUGUUUAUUUUUUAUUAUUUUUUUUUUCUGGUUAAAAAUAGGUCUUGGUGACCUUUGGAAGUGACCUUGAAGGGGAAAAAUUCGCUGAAGGGCUACGUAUAGCCUGAACUGAAGUUCAAUGCACGUUGGAAGUAGUGGGAGGAGAGAAGAGCUCUGUGCACCUAAUGGUUCUGCUGAAUCCUCCGGCAGAUGAAGGAAGAAUGAGAGCACGAAGAAUGGAAAGGAAAGUUUUAUGGGCCAGGGCUGGAGGUCUUGUUGCUGAGACUACUGAUCUCCAAAGUGGAAUGUGCUCACUCUAGAGGUAUACAAGAUAAUUCACUGAAGUGUGGUAAGAAUUUUCAUAGCUUCUACUUAGGUUUAUCAUGAGAAAAUUAAGCCCUAUUCAUCCAUAUGGAUUGAGGUUGGCAUCCCCACAUUGUUUCUAUAUUUGACGCUCACAUCAGAUGAGAUACAAAUGGAGUUUCUUUCUUUGAGCAUUAGUGACAUAUUGUGGUUCAAAAGGGGAUUUAUGGAUUUUUAAAAUCUAACUUUAACAAAAUGAAAUAUUACAAAGUGAAUAAUUGGUUUUAAAAAAUUGCUGGGAAAAAGAAAACCCUGUGAAUUGAAGAUGAUACAUAGGAUCCCCCACUCUCAAAUGGCAGAACUGACACUUUUACUUAGUAUGAUCCCUUCAUCAGUCACAUUAUGAAGUUAAAUACAAUGAUUAACAAAAUCUGACCAGCUGACUCAAAACAUCCAAAACUAUUAAAAAAUCUAUUUGAAAUACAGUAUUAAUUUGUAUCCACUUAAUAACAAGAUACAGAAACCUAAGUAUAUAUUUUCCCUGAGAUAAAAGUUUAUUCAUUUUCAUUGUAUUCCUUCAAACUUUUUGUUUACAUUUCAUAAUGUAUAUUUUAUAUUAGCCCAAUAGUGGAUGUGUAUAACUUAUAAAGUAAUAUACAUAUAUUGGGGGUAUAUGCUCAAAUUAAGUGUACUUAAUUUGAGAUUAUUGAUUUAGACAAACAACUCUACCUUUCUCCAGUUGAGAGUUCUAGCCUGUGAACAUAGCAGUGAUUAGUACCUAAUGAUCAUGCAGUUAAGAAUUGGUUGCUAUUAUUACUAUUAGGUUUGGUUCUAAAGCCCAAAAAGGUACAGAUGAUUCGGAUGCAGACAUAUCAUUUAUAUAGAACCCCCACCAUUUUGCCUCAAGUAAACAACAUAAUCUGUCUCUCUGGAGACAGUUUCUUUGUUUGCAGCUAUAAAAUUUGCUGCAGUUGUAAUGCUGGAUCUAAGAGGCUGUCAUAUUGACUUGAGGAAUUCCAGAAAGGCCUCCCUGUAACCCUUUUCUUCUAGUGUGACUUAGGGAAACCCAGAAAGAACUCCCUUAACUCCUCCACCAGCAAAGGCUUCCUUCCUCAUUCUCACCUGAAGCCCCAUUAUUAGCAUUUAUUCCUGUGAAGGGGACUACCUUCACUUCAUGCCCAGAGUUCACCUAUUCCAUUCUGUUCUCCCAAGCACCUAGUGUAAAACUCAACGACAGCACUUUGACUGUAGGUACAGUCCUUCCUCCAUAACUGUGGGGAGUUGGUUCCAGGACUCUCCUCUUUUUUUUUUUUUUUUUGAGACAGUCUCUGGCU